AACAACAAAGAGAAAAAUAAGUAUUGUGAGAUGGGAAGAGGGGGAACAGGACAAAGGCUGAAGAUUGGAACUCCUAGAAAUAGCUAUGAUAGCAAAUUCUAGAAUACAAUUACAGUGAAAACCCGUCAUAAUUAAUACAAAAGAUAUCAUAUAGAAUACAACUAAUGUAUAUAAACAUAUAUAAGUGACAAGUGAAAAACCCAAAACCCUUCUUACAGUGAAACCCAACAUGGCAAUUCAGCUACAUUAGAAUAGCACUACAACUAAAUAGUGACUAUUUCACUAUAACAGUAUAAAAAUUGCCAUAAAUGGCUACAUAUGAUCAACAUUAACAUGAAAAAAAAAUGAUAGACAUAAACCCCAACAACCCAUUUAACUAGAGGCUAAAAUGUACCAGUGCAGGAUCAUAAUCAACAUACUUAAAUGGAAAAGCCAAAUAACCCAUUUGUCCGAAACAAGAUUGUUAAUAAUAAUAAUAAUAAUAAU
rnacentral:misc_RNA from 1 species